CUUUAAAGAAAAAUGUUAAUGUCAGCUGACAAUUGAUUUGAACACUCUUCAACAUUAUACAUACAAAGCAGUUAAACAGGACAUACAGCAGUGUAUGGGCUUAAAAACCGCGAAGAUCAGUGGUAGGCUUGGGUAAAUUACGCUCGAAAAUAUGGCUAUCAUGCCCGAAGGCAGUGCUCGUUAAAACAAUGUGUUAUGCUCGUGAAACAGUCUGUUAUGCUCGAAUUAUGCUCGAGGAAAAUUCAAGUUUUAAUACACAGAAAGUCAAAAAGUGUAAAGGUACAGAAAGUUAAAAAGUGG